GGUUAAUACCCUGAGUAGAUGACGGUACCGGAAUAAGAAGCACCGGCUAACUACGUGCCAGCAGCCGCGGUAAUACGUAGGGUGCGAGCGUUAAUCGGAAUUACUGGGCGUAAAGCGUGCGCAGGCGGUUUUGUAAGACAGGCGUGAAAUCCCCGGGCUUAACCUGGGAACUGCGUUUGUGACUGCAAGGCUAGAGUACGGCAGAGGGGGGUGGAAUUCCACGUGUAGCAGUGAAAUGCGUAGAGAUGUGGAGGAACACCAAUGGCGAAGGCAGCCCCCUGGGUCGAUACUGACGCUCAUGCACGAAAGCGUGGGUAGCAAACAGGAUUAGAUACCCUGGUAGUCCACGCCCUAAACGAUGACAACUAGGUGUUGGGAGGGUAAAACCUUUUAGUGCCGUAGCUAACA
rnacentral:rRNA from 1 species